ACAGGCGUGCGGAGACUGAGGGCCGGGCCGGGCCAGGCCCCAGAUACCUCACAUAACUGGGCCCAGCCCCUGUCUCAUCAGGAACUCCAUUUUUAGGAUGCAGUUGUCUCAAGCUAAAAAUAAAUCAUGCAAUGAAUAAAAAAAAAGUUAGAUAUGACACUGUUGAGGGAUUCGCUGAUACAGUUUGUCAGAGGGGUAGCAAGGGAGGAGGCAGGAGGGAAAGAGGAGAACUCGUGCACAAGGAAUAAGGAGGACAGCAAGGUCAGGGAAGAGAAACUCAAGAAGGAAGGAGAAAAGAUGAGAGGGGAGAGAGAUGGGACCGUAAACGAGACAAGCUAGUGGAGACGUCUGCAUGUACACAGGGCCACCCAGGCCUUGGAAUCGUUCAAUUAAGGAGAGAAGUCAGCCUGUCCCCUCUGGGUGGGCUGCCUGUCCCCCUACCUACUCAUUGCUCACACAGUCCAGUCCAGGCGGACUUCACGUGCUGCACCUGCCUUUCCCUGCCCCCCAUCCUCUCUUCUUGGGAACUGGGCCCCAGGUGGCCUCUGUGCCAUGCUCACAUGGCCCUGACAGGCACUGGGCAAGGGAUACAGGGACACCCUCCCUGUCAGACCCCCCGCACUGGGGCCUCAGUUCCUCUCCUUCCACCCCUGCCCACAGCUGAACACUGCUAACACCAGGAAAAUCCAUCUCCAUUUUAAAAUAAAUUUAAAAUACUUUAAAUAAAGUAAAAGUUCAACAGUCUUCCUCAGAAAUUCUCUUAAACUCUCUUAGAUUAUGACAGACCAUCUCUGUUAUAGCUCUUUUUUUACCUUAACCCCUAAUGUGUCAUUUUUGUCCCUUUCCUCUUCAUUAAAGACAGACUGGUACACAGAGUCUGGAAGUUGGACAGAUGACAGCUCCAAUCCCCGUUCUGCCUUUUAAUGGCUGGACGCACUUUGAAGUGUCACUCACUCUCUCUGGUUCUCAGUUCCUCCCCCUGCCUUGUUAUGAGGAUAAUUAUGACUAUAUUGUAAGGUUUGGAGCACAGAGUUGGAAAAGCAUCGUACAAAGCAGGUGCGUAGUAGCUAUUAUACUUACUUCAUUCUCACUGGAGAUGGUGGAACAUAGGUUAUUAUAAGACUUGUCAGUUUCUAAUAAUAGUGGUUUGUGAAUCCUUUCCGGUCCACUUUCUCCUUGAACCAAGCAGGCAAUUGGGGCAGAGUUGAUGAGCACUCAUUUCACAGGUGAGCUAACUGAGAUUCAGAGAGAUCAGCAACUUGUCUGAAAUAGCCUUCCUAACUGCCAGUGUGAGGAUUCCAGGUGCUGCUGGCUGCUUUAACUAUGACUCAGGGCAAUUUCUUAAGUGGUUCCUCGACCAUCCUUUCUGGUCAAACAACAGCCCAGUCAUGUCUUUCCACUCUUUAGAGUGGUCUAUGGGUCUUAAAAUUUGGACCAAAGUUUUGUCUUCCUUUGGUUGGAAAAUCAGCUUUGGAAAGAGUGAGGACUCACUCAUGCACAACAUUUACAGAGGAUUGAAGGAAAAGAGGUUUGUCAUCCUACUCGAGGAAGACCAGGCCCCUCCUCUACAUCCAGAGGGCCUUAUGCUGAGAAGUAGGGUGACAAGGAGCUGUCAGGACACUUUCAUGUCCAGGAAGCCAGGACCUUGGAGAACCUAUCAGUGAAAACGUGAAAACCUUCAGUUCUUUCUAAAGGUGAAUUCUCUCUGCUUUUAAAAAUGGAGACAAAAAUAGCCAUUCUAAGGUGUGGUUAACUUUCCAGGUCAUUGGCAAGCACCAGAGAUCUCUGCUUUCUUUAGAAAAUUUCCCAGGAACAAGAUUUCCGAGUGAAACAAUGUAUGUCUUGUCUUUUCCAGGUCAGUUUCCCAACCUGUUCCCAUUGUCUCAAUCUCACGUGGUUACCUUUAUUUAGAAUAUGCCCCACUUUUCUUAAUAUGAAAGGUUUUUAAAAUUUUACUGAAAAAUUUGGAAAUAUUUAAAGUCAGAGUCUUUGAAUUUCUUGACUUGAAACUGAUAAAAAGUACCAAGGAAAAGAAAUACAUUUGGAAAAUGUAGUUUAAGCCUUCAAGUCUGGCUUCUGACCAACUGCAUGUUAACAGAGAGAAGAAGCUCUAGUGUGGAAAGUUCCAGUCCCCAGAUCCUGGACUGUACUGGGGGCUUCGCAGCCCAGCCCCGAGGACACAUGCUGUAGAAAUCAGGUUUCUCACUGUCCACAGCCUAUUUUUUAGGUACCAGUCAUUUCUCUGGCUGCUUUUAUUUUCCUCUUUUUGUUUUUCCUUUGCAUUCUUGCUCACCAGCCUUAAUUAAUUCAUUUUGUAAACAGGGAAUGCUUCCGGACAUUUCUGAGUCAAUUUUGUAUCUAUCUACGAAAUCAGCCCUCUCAUUCGGGUUUUAGCUGCUGCCCCAGUCAGUGUGUCACCCCCACACACUCCUAGUUUGUGAUUGUGCAGAAGUGUGUGUAUCCUUAUGUGCCUGUAGCAGUAUUUUCGUUUCGUUUUGUUUACACCGGAAGGGAUAAAACAAAACAAAAAAAUAAAUGCAAAUAGAUGUUAAUUAUUAUCACAAUGCAGGCCCGUUGUUCUUGCCAGUUCUCCACUUUGUGAGAGGGCCCUACCUACAGUCCUUUAAUCUAAUCUAACCCCUUUCAAUUCUUUAUUCUCGUCAGGUGCCAGAGUGAUUUUGCAUAUAUUAUUUAAUUUGAUCUUUACAAUAAUUUAUUUCACAGAUUAAUCAGGACUUGAAGCCAUGGUCUUCCCUCUAUUUGUUAAUUAUAUUUUUAUUGGGCAUCUUCUACUUACCAGACACUUCUCUGGGUACUGGGGAUUGGUCGCUAACCUGAUUUUACAUGAGUUUAUAACCUCGACAGACGAUGAUCAAACAAAACGUAAACGCGGGGUGUGCGCACGCAUGCGCAAGCACAUGACGGUGUAGGUGCGCGCAUGCGUGUAAGCCUGCGCGUGCGCGCAUGGUGUGUGCAUACCUAAGGGCAAGUAGAGGCACAUGCUCUGAAGAACAACGGAGAACAACGGAGAGUCCGAGACCGUGGGUACUUCGGUCAGUGUUGGCCCAGAAUGAAAAACACACCCCUUAUAAUCCGCGGAGGAUGUAAUCCACGACAUUAAUAACUGGUGUCAUGUCUGGAUUAGAUGUUCGAGUGCUACAAUGUACACCUUGUUCUUAACAAGUGCCACGAGGACUCAGUGUCAUCAUCUUGGGGUCUUCUUACUGCCACACAGCCCCAUGAGUUUGAAAAUAACUUGGAUGAACAGAUUAGAAAACCAAGGUGCAGACAGAUGGGAGCACUUGAAGUCACGCAUCUAGACAAGAAAGAAACUUCAAGUUGGAAGAGGCAAGGUUCCCACAGAUGUUGGUGACAGAAAAUGGAAACCCAGGCAAGAAAUAAGGAAUGUUCUAAAGGCCCGCUCAGGGUCCCAGGGCCUGGCCAGAUAAAUUAAAUUCUAGGAGACUUAUCUGCUUUUGAAGAGCUGAGACUUUGAGGGAAGGGGCUAGAAGCCCUGCCACUGGAAAGUUACGAUCUUUUAAAAAAAUGGGCAGGCAGUUUGGAUGAUCUUUGGUCACGCGAGCUGGACAUUGUCUCCAGACUGAAGAGCCUUUUCUGACAUCCUCAUUUGUUCUGCUGUGUAAUAGCAUGGGAUCUUUCAGAGCUGUCGACAUCUGCUACACUCUAGAGAGCUGCAGAACCGAGCCAGCAAAGCAAUAAUAAUUAUGCCCAAAUGGACUGCAAAGGAUGUAAGAGAUAAGAAGGAAGACCAGAAAAAAAUACACUCGAUGCAAUGGUGUUCCAGCCUGAAGUGAGUGAAUGUGUGUGCGUGUGUGUGCAUGUAAAUGUACAGUCGCUGAGGCCAUACACCUGUAUGUGCGUUGAGGACGCAAAUCCUUUUCCUGAGAGCAGUGGACUGGAAAUCAGUCUGGCUCAGGGUUCUCCAAAUUCCCAAUCCUUGCUCCUUCCCCCAGAAGGCCACACUCAAUGUAGGUGCGGCUUCCUACAUUGCAGGGUAGUUUGUAGGACACUGUGGAGAGAGACCUUCUUCCUUCUGCCCCCCGCUCCACCCUUAUGCGUAGCUGUGUCUUCGUCCCUGGAACUACUCUGAGGAUAAAUUCGGCUUGUUGGAAAGAGGCUGUACAUCUUCCUGAUUGUCAACACGCUAGUUAUUAAAUACCUGGCCUGUUGGGCCUCCCCUAGGAUUAAAACUAGCAAACUGGCAUCUACUGGAUGCUUAGUAUUUGCCAGGCACUGUGUAAGCCCUUCAUGUGCAGGAUCAUUCUUCCUUAAAUAACUCUACCAGCUUGGUGUCACUGUAUCCCCAUCUGCAGGUGAAAAGAUUAGGGCAUGGAGGGUCCCCCAGCUGACAAAGAGGGGCUUCAAAAAUGGACCCUGGGCCUCUCCUACCCCGGCAUCGGCCUUCCUGGGUACAAGGCCAUAUGCCCAGAGGCCCCACUUGUGCACCGACAGAGAGACUGGUUUUUAAGGCUGUGGUUACUGGAGAACAAAAGAACCGGUCGUGCCGUUCAUGUGUGACUCUUCACAAAGCAGCCAGGCCGCUCAGUGACACACUUGGUCACUUUCAUGAACAACCAGUCAGUUGAACAAAGAGAACCGAAAUAAAAUAAACUCCCCAAACCAAGGGAGCCCAGGUUUUUUUUUUUUCCUCCCCCAUUGGGUUAGCUGAUUAUUUUGCAGAAUCCGAGGCUCCUACCGAGGCCAGUUGUCUUGAGGUCACUUAGGGCCCAGGAAGGGCGAGCAGGCCCCACACCUGGUCUCAGGACCCUGCUUCAGCCAGAAGCCAGCGCACCUGGGAUGGACCAGCCCUCAGCAACAGUGGGAGGCUCGUCAGUCGAGAACGUAUUCUUCCUGCCUAUGCCAUCCACCUCCCUCAACCCUAUUCCAGCCCUGGCCCCACCAUAUAGCCCCACCGCUCCCACUCU